rnacentral:rRNA from 1 species
UACAGAGGGGCAAGCGUUGUUCGGAAUUACUGGGCGUAAAGGGCUCGUAGGCGGCCAACUAAGUCGGACGUGAAAUCCCCAGGCUCAACCUGGGAACUGCGUCCGAUACUGGAUGGCUUGAAUCCGGGAGAGGGAUGCGGAAUUCCAGGGUGUAGCGGUGAAAUGCGUAGAUAUCUGGAGGAACACCGGUGGCGAAGGCGGCAUCCUGGACCGAGAUUGACGCUGAGGCGCGAAGCCAGGGGAGCAAACGGG